AACGCGAAGAACCUUACCUACUCUUGACAUCCAGAGAACUUAGCAGAGAUGCUUUGGUGCCUUCGGGAACUCUGAGACAGGUGCUGCAUGGCUGUCGUCAGCUCGUGUUGUGAAAUGUUGGGUUAAGUCCCGCAACGAGCGCAACCCUUAUCCUUUGUUGCCAGCGGUUCGGCCGGGAACUCAAAGGAGACUGCCAGUGAUAAACUGGAGGAAGGUGGGGAUGACGUCAAGUCAUCAUGGCCCUUACGAGUAGGGCUACACACGUGCUACAAUGGCGCAUACAAAGAGAAGCGACCUCGCGAGAGCAAGCGGACCUCAUAAAGUGCGUCGUAGUCCGGAUUGGAGUCUGCAACUCGACUCCAUGAAGUCGGAAUCGCUAGUAAUCGUAGAUCAGAAUGCUACGGUGAAUACGUUCCCGGGUCUUGUACACACCG
rnacentral:rRNA from 2 species